GAGAAUUGUUGGUGACCUAAUGUCUUCUCCGUAAGUACGGCGGCGAUAAUGUUCGUUGUCGGUUUCUCUGUAACGCUUCGCGACUUAACUCACAUUAAGAGACUUUCAAUGCGUCGUUCUGUCUGCGAGAUCUGUAAUCUCCGUAUAUAUAUAGGUUGAGUGAUAUGUUUUGUGGUUCACGGCAGGAUAGAGUGAUAUACAAAAAAAGGAAAAUGGAAAGCGUAGCCAUAUCAGAGCAUUUGAUCAAACUCCUCCGUCCUCCCUGUUGCACAACCUUACGCAUUUGAUAUGGUGGGUUAUGUCAUCUACGACAUUGGAUGGGAAGCCAUACCAGAGAAGAGUCUUCUACAACGGAACCAUUGAGGUACUCUGGAGGUCUUCUCACUGGUGAGUCUGUCUUUCUUUUAACACUUGGGAUUCCUCUCCUCCUCCUUCUUGGUCUAUGGGCAUACAGCUAAGUACAACGUAUCACCAAGAAAACCAAAAAGGUAUCAAAGGUGGAAGUAGGAACAAAGUUCUACGUACGCAUCACUUGACGAGUGGCUCGAGGGACAUUUGGCAAAUAUAUUGCAAGAAAAUAGAAGAUCAAGAAGAAGUGAGAAAAAAAGAGAGCCUUUUAAGCUCCUUCACAGUUCUUAUAGACUUUAAGCUUUUUGGCAUUUUGA